rfam:Clostridiales bacterium KLE1615 genomic scaffold Scaffold912, whole genome shotgun sequence.
UGAUGCCAAGGGUCCAAACUCAAAAGCUGAUCGUGCUUGCACGAUGAAGAUUUUGAGCUUGAGACCCGCAAAAACAUGAGGAUGCAGCGAUUUUCAAAGAAAAUCAGCGAAUCCGAAUGUUUUUAGAAUUGCUAGAGUUACAAAGUAACGGAGCAAUUCGUAGGCAUUA